AACGAACGCUGGCGGCAUGCCUUACACAUGCAAGUCGAACGGCAGCACGGACUUCGGUCUGGUGGCGAGUGGCGAACGGGUGAGUAAUGUAUCGGAACGUACCUUUCAGUGGGGGAUAACGUAGCGAAAGUUACGCUAAUACCGCAUAUUCUGUGAGCAGGAAAGCAGGGGAUCGCAAGACCUUGCGCUGAUUGAGCGGCCGAUAUCAGAUUAGCUAGUUGGUGGGGUAAAGGCCUACCAAGGCUACGAUCUGUAGCGGGUCUGAGAGGAUGAUCCGCCACACUGGAACUGAGACACGGUCCAGACUCCUACGGGAGGCAGCAGUGGGGAAUUUUGGACAAUGGGGGCAACCCUGAUCCAGCCAUGCCGCGUGAGUGAAGAAGGCCUUCGGGUUGUAAAGCUCUUUCGGCCGGGAAGAAAUCGCAUGGGCUAAUACCCUGUGUGGAUGACGGUACCGGAAUAAGAAGCACCGGCUAACUACGUGCCAGCAGCCGCAGUAACAC
rnacentral:rRNA from 1 species